AUUGAACGCUGGCGGCGUGCCUAACACAUGCAAGUCGAACGGGGUAGCAAUACCUAGUGGCGGACGGGUGAGUAACGCGUGAGAAUCUGUCUUCAGGACGGGGACAACGGUUGGAAACGACCGCUAAUACCCGAUGUGCCGAAAGGUGAAACUUAUCUGGCGCUGGAGAGGAGCUCGCGUCAGAAUAGCUAGUUGGUGGGGUAAGAGCCUACCAAGGCGACGAUCGGUAGCUGGUCUGAGAGGAUGAGCAGCCACACUGGGACUGAGACACGGCCCAGACGCCUACGGGAGGCAGCAGUGGGGAAUUUUCCGCAAUGGGCGAAAGCCUGACGGAGCAACGCCGCGUGAGGGAGGAAGGUCCUUGGAUUGUAAACCUCUUUUCUCGAGGAAGAAGUCAGUGACGGUACUCGAGGAAUCAGCCUCGGCUAACUCCGUGCCAGCCGCCGCGGG
rnacentral:rRNA from 1 species